rnacentral:lncRNA from 1 species
GUGGCAGAUCUUAUCGCGAGCAUGUGGCAUAAUUAAUGACUUUGUGGUGUCCUAUCACGGUGCGGAGCAGAGCACUUAGGGUAUGACCUCAGCAUGAUGCGAUUUGAUGUGACUCGAUAUAACCGCAUGGUAGCCUCACUUGACCGCUCACUAUUUGACUGAUAUCGAUAUCCAGAUCAAUCACUAGCCAGAGUAAGAUGAAAGGGAUUGGAAGCGAUCCGGGGUGAGUGACCCGCAUGCUAGUAGUCUCGGGCUCACUAAGUAGGAUUGAUAAGUUAGGUCGGUAGAUGACCGAUUUGAAGUGUUAGAUGCUGUAGGUAGCUGAAGAACCUGAUAUGUGGAUCAGGGCUGUUGCAAUAGGCAA